UGGGGAAUAUUGCACAAUGGGCGCAAGCCUGAUGCAGCCAUGCCGCGUGUGUGAAGAAGGCCUUCGGGUUGUAAAGCACUUUCAGCGAGGAGGAAGGUGGGUGGACUUAAUACGUUCAUCAAUUGACGUUACUCGCAGAAGAAGCACCGGCUAACUCCGUGCCAGCAGCCGCGGUAAUACGGAGGGUGCAAGCGUUAAUCGGAGUUACUGGGCGUAAAGCGCACGCAGGCGGUUUGUUAAGUCAGAUGUGAAAUCCCCGGGCUCAACCUGGGAACUGCAUUUGAAACUGGCAAGCUAGAGUCUCGUAGAGGGGGGUAGAAUUCCAGGUNUAGCGGUGAAAUGCGUAGAGAUCUGGAGGAAUACCGGUGGCGAAGGCGGCCCCCCUGGA
rnacentral:rRNA from 1 species